rnacentral:lncRNA from 1 species
CAGUGAGGUUCCAGAGUUCAAGGACAUACUCACAAGUCAUUACUAUCUUCUCUUCCCCUCUCCUCCCCUUUCUCUUUCAGUUCUACAGACUGAACCCAAGGAUUGGUGCAUGCUAGGCAGUCUUUUGCCACUGGAUAUAAUCCAGGUUACAUUAUGGCUUGAAAUCAUCUAAUGCAAAUGAUAACGUAGCUAACAUUACAAGCCAUCUCAGAGCUUUCCAUGUAUCGUGACUCAGAUGAUGCCAGCUAAAACCAAACCACACAAAGAAUAUUUAUUUCAGUCGCACUUCAGGAUCUGAACAGAUUCUGAUUUUUUUUUUCAGCUUGUCUGAAGUAUGACAAAUUGGAACUGUGCAUAUUUAAGACAUUUAAGGUGUACAUCCUGACGUUUGGGUAUGUAUGUACAUUACAAAGUGAUCACCGCGGUCUAACUAUUAACAUAUCCGUCACCUCGUAGAAUUUGCAUUUCCUACUCUACCUGUAGUAAGAACAUUUAAGAAAAUCUCAGGGCUAUGACACAAUAUUGUCAAGUGUAGUCACUCACCAUGCCUAAGAGAAGCGUAGCCACAGUGGCGGGCAUGGUAGCGGAGACAGAAAGCUGAGAGUCUCAGCAUGACACAGGGAGGGCAAGCUGGAAGCUGCAUGAUGUUUUAAACCCUCAAAGCCAGCCUCCAGUGAUGUACCUCCUCCCACAGGCUAUACAUUCUGUACCUCCCCCAAACAGCAAUGUCAACUGAGGACCAAGCGUUUAAACAUUUGAGACUGGAGGAUCUUCUCAUUCAAGCCACCAUAGGGUUGUACCUUGGAUUCCACACAGAGAUGAUAUCAAGUCAUAUUUAUUUUGCAGAGUCUGGCUUAUCAACAUAAUGUGCCCAGCAUCACCCACAUGGAGGCUUUAGUUAUAAUCCUCGUGCACUGGUUUGGACCCUGGAAUUCGUUUGAAGAGAUGUAGAUCAUCAGCUGAGUGCCAUGUGCCAACCGUGAGACCCAGACUGAUGUUGGACAUGUUUGUAGUUUUGGGGAAGUUCAGACCCUCACUACAUUUUUCUUCGUGCCAUCCUGAAACCAUCUGUCUGUUUUUCGUUUCAUGGCGUCUUCUACCUUCAGUGGCCAGCUCUUGCCAGGAAUGGAUUUUUCUGAAGUAUCAAGAGGUCACAAAUAACAAGGUUUCUUUCUUUCUAAAAACUUAGCAACAUCCCAGUGUUUGUGUGUAUAGUCUCUCUGUGUCCUCUCUGUCUUGGUCUCUGUCUGUCUGUCUGUCUGUCUCUGUCUCUCUUUCUCUCUUGUGUGUAUGCGUGUGUGUGUGUGUAUGUUCCUAAGGAUCACCUAAGGAACUCUGCAUGCUAGACAAGCACUCUACCUGUGAAUUAUACCCACACUCCUACGCCACAUUUUAAAAACAAUAUAACUGUAAGUUGGGUACGGCAGCACGAGCCUGUGAUGUGAGCAUUCAGAAGGCUGGGGAGGAGUUCAAGGUCAAUCUGGGUCAAGGUUCAAGGUCAAGUGCUGAGAUGCUCACUCAACAAAACAAAAACAGAUACAGAGAGACUUAUAACUUUACCUUCCCCUGGAAGUCUGAAAUUCUAAUUAGUAACAAAACCUUUCCUUUUUUUCCCCUUUCACACACAUACUUGUGCUCCACCAAAUCCGAUUAAAUAUAAACAGCUAGUGUCUGGCUAGAUGAUUAACAACCCAUAGAUUGCUGGAAAUGUCGAAGCAAACCGUAGAAAAGUGCCCUCAGACUAACUGAAAGGGUUAAUCGCAUUUACUUUCUCCUACCAAAGGGCUCUGUUUAAUUUUCACGUCCGCAUGUCUGGUGUCCUUUGAUGAAGUAUGUCAUCUGCUCUUCAAAACUUCCCUGCUGGUAAAAGACAUGCAUUUAUUUUUAAAUACAUUCAUAAUUUCUGCUCUAUAGGAAUAAACUAUGCCUCCGGGAAAGAUGUGCAUUGCACGGAUACACUUUGUGAAGGUAAACACACAGAGGCAUUCUGCUUUCUGUUAAUUAAUGAUAGCGGUGCCAAGCUUUUAUAGGAAACCAAUUUUCCUUUUGAACACCAGGGAGAUCUUUGAGCCUAAGAAAUGUUUCAAUUUAGGAAAACCAUAGCUCAGCCAAAAGUGCAGACGUAGCAGGUGAAUUACGGUUGGACUAGAAACUAGGAUGCACGAAUGCUCGGUAAGUACAAAUGGGCCCCAGAAGUCUGUUCUUGAAACUACAGACAACUCUGGAAGUUGGAAUUUGCUUCAGCAUUUUCCCUGGAGUAGGAGUUGAGAUGCAUGGACUGCGGCUGUGGGGGGCUGAGAGAGGCUGGAGCAGCCCACAAGGUAGACCCUUGCCAUGGGCAUGCAAGGUUCUUGCUUGGCUGGUGAGGGAUCAGUGUUCUCUGUCUCCAAUGAAGACGCACCUGAUCUUUUGGCAGAGUGGAAGUCUGGCAUCCUUGUCUUAUUCAUUAGGAGGUUAUUUAUGAGACUCACUAACUGUGGCAUGACCUCUUUGGUGUAUUUAAAGCAAUCCUGGGCUGAUGCUAUCGGAGGGUGUUUUGCACAUGCAGAUGCUGCUUGUCGGCAGGAGUGUUUGACUAGACAAGGUGAGAGAAGGAUGUGAAUGCCAAGUCUCUCUGCAAAGCCCAACAGAGGCAUGCUUGGUGACUGAAGAAGAGUAGACAUCAAUGUUACUUAAAGUGAAGGAAAGGGAGCAGGGUGGUGGUGGCACACACGUUUAAUUGCAGCACUCUGGAGGCAGAGGCAGGGGGUCUUUGAGUUUGAGGCUGGUCUGGUCUACUGAAUGAAUUCUAGGCCAGCCAAGGCUACACAGAAAAACCCUAUCUCGAAAACAAACCAACACCAAAACGAAAAACAAAAAAGAAAAAGCAAUCCAAAAGAAAAGUGGAGGAAGUGGUUUCUACUGAGUAAAUAGCAGGGAUAAAUUCAGCAUAGAUAAAUUGUGUCCACACAGGUAUAUACACAAUGAGGUUACAUAUGAUACCAUAUAUAAGAAUUACAGGUUGGAAGGCUGAAGUAUAGUUCAUUUGUAGAGUGCUUGCCUCGCAUGCCUUAGAUUUGAUCCCUAGCGCCAACCACAUUAGCCUGGAGUUGUGGCUCAAGCUUGUAAUUCCAGCACUUGAAAGUGGAGGCAGGGACAUCAGCUAUUCCGAGUGUCACCCUCUGCUACAUCCAAUAUGAAGGCAACUCUGAGAUAUAUGAGACUCUGCCUCAAAAAAAGUACAAGUUGGAAAUAACCUAAUAGAGAGCAAGGACAAAGUAUGACAUAGUUCUACAGUGAAGUAUUGUGUAACUGUGAAAAACAGCUCGCAGCUUUGUAAGAGUGAAGUACCCACCACAGAUCCCUAAGGCCAGUCAUCAAGUAUAGUCCAGUAUGUCCACAUACAUGCUAUUUUUGAAACUGUGUAUGUGGACCAAUGCUGCCCGUGGGGAACAAAAUUGGGGAAGGUGAGUGCACCAUCCCUUGGUCUUGGGAUAUUUCUG